rnacentral:rRNA from 1 species
GCGAUGGUUCAUUCCAACAUUUCUGCCCUAUCCAACUUUCGCAUGGUCAGGCAUAGUGGCCUCACCCAUGGUUGGAACGGGGUCAACGGGGGCAAUUCAGGGUUCGCAUUCCGGAGAGGGAGCCUGAGAAACGGUACCACAUCCAAGGAAGGCAGCAGGCGCGCAAAUUACCCAAUCCCGACACGGGGAGGUAGUGACAAUAAAUACUGAUACAGGGCCCUUUCGGGUCUUGUGAAUUGGAAUGAGUACAAUUUAAAUCCAUUAACGAGGAACAAUUGGAGGGCAAGUCUGGUGCCAGCAGCCGCGGUAAUUCCAGCUCCAAUAGCGUAUAUUAAAGUAGUUGCAGUUAAAAAGCUCGUAGUUGAACCUUGGGUCUGGGUGACUGGUCUCCCUUACUGGGUGCACUGAGAACCCGGACCUUUCCUUCUGGCAAACCUCAUGCCCUUUACUGGGUGUGCUGG